ACUCCUACGGGAGGCAGCAGUGGGGAAUAUUGGACAAUGGGGGAACCCGUGAUCCAGCCAUGCCGCGUGUGUGAAGAAGGCCUUAUGGUUGUAAAGCACUUUAAGCGAGGAGGAGGCUACUGAGACUAAUACUCUUGGAUAGUGGACGUUACUCGCAGAAUAAGCACCGGCUAACUCUGUGCCAGCAGCCGCGGUAAUACAGAGGGUGCGAGCGUUAAUCGGAUUUACUGGGCGUAAAGCGUGCGUAGGCGGCCAUUUAAGUCAAAUGUGAAAUCCCCGAGCUUAACUUGGGAAUUGCAUUCGAUACUGGAUGGCUAGAGUAUGGGAGAGGAUGGUAGAAUUCCAGGUGUAGCGGUGAAAUGCGUAGAGAUCUGGAGGAAUACCGAUGGCGAAGGCAGCCAUCUGGCCUAAUACUGACGCUGAGGUACGAAAGCAUGGGGAGCAAACAGGAUUAGAUACCCUGGUAGACAUCA
rnacentral:rRNA from 1 species